UACGAAGGGGGCUAGCGUUGUUCGGAAUUACUGGGCGUAAAGCGCACGUAGGCGGACUUUUAAGUCAGGGGUGAAAUCCCGGGGCUCAACCUCGGAACUGCCUUUGAUACUGGAAGUCUUGAGUAUGGAAGAGGUAAGUGGAAUUGCGAGUGUAGAGGUGAAAAUUCGUAGAUAUUCGCAGGAACACCAGUGGCGAAGGCGGCUUACUGGGCAGUGGCUGACGCUGAGGCGCGACAGCGUGGGGAGCAAACGGGG
rnacentral:rRNA from 1 species